rnacentral:rRNA from 1 species
GUGGAUUAGAUACCCUGGUAGUCCUAGCCCUAAACCAUCAGGACUUGGGGUGGCUCGCGUAGGCGGGUCGUCCCGUAGCUAACGCGUUAAGUCCUGCGCCUGGGGAGUACGGUCGCAAGACUGAAACUCAAAGGAAUUGACGGGGGCCCGCACAAGCGGUGGAACAUGUGGUUCAAUUCGACGCAACGCGAAGAACCUUACCUGGGCUUGAACCGCUACUGACCAACGGUAGAAAUAUCGUCUUCCCGCAAGGGACAGUAGUAGAGGUGCUGCACGGUCGUCGUCAACU